UACGUAGGGUGCAAGCGUUAAUCGGAAUACUGGGCGUAAAGCGUGCGCAGGCGGUUUUGUAAGUCUGUCGUGAAAUCCCCGGGCUCAACCUGGGAAUUGCGAUGGAGACUGCAAGGCUAGAAUCUGGCAGAGGGGGUAGAAUUCCACGUGUAGCAGUGAAAUGCGUAGAGAUGUGGAGGAACACCGAUGGCGAAGGCAGCCCCCCUGGGUCAAGAU
rnacentral:rRNA from 1 species